UACGUAGGGUGCGAGCGUUGUCCGGAAUUACUGGGCGUAAAGAGCUCGUAGGCGGUUUGUCGCGUCGUCCGUGAAAACUUGGGGCUCAACCCCAAGCUUGCGGGCGAUACGGGCAGACUUGAGUACUGCAGGGGAGACUGGAAUUCCUGGUGUAGCGGUGAAAUGCGCAGAUAUCAGGAAGAACACCCGUGGCGAAGGCGGUUCUCUGGGACGGUACUGACGCUGAGACGCGAAAGCGUGGGGAGCGAACAGG
rnacentral:rRNA from 1 species